UAGAAAAGUGAACUCAGGGAAGUUCUGAGUCUAUGGUUUUACAGAUACCUUUACACUCAUGGUUUUCAGCCCUUUAUCUCCAAAACCAAACACUGACACCAAAUGUCAGGGACUAUUUCACAAUUUCAGUUUCUUUUUCAAGACCAACAUCAGCAGCUCACCUCUGAGCAGGUGAGUGCCACUGCUGGCCCCUGAAAAGACAGAGCGCCAGCAGGAGCCACAGAAACAGCUGCCACAGUGGUUAGGGAGGCUGGUUGGAGCCUCUGUUCAGCUGAACAAUUCAUCUCUUAAGAAAGAACCACUUGCUCUCCCAUGGAAAGUCCCCUUCCCUGCACUGGGACCAGACUGACCUGCAUGGGAGUCCUCUGACAGUUGGUGCUCAUUUCUGAGUUGUGAACAGCUACCGGUCUGUACUAUUUCGAUGACAAGGAAACAUUCAAAGACUUUUGCUAAAAAAAAAAAAAAAAGAUUUUUGCU